UCAGACACUUAACCGAAUGAGCCACCCAGGCACUGACAGAGGGAGAGAGAGAGAGAGAGAGAGAGAGAGAGAGAGAGAGAGAGAGAGAAUUUCAAGCAGAAUCCACAUCCAGUGUAGACCCCAACACGGGCCUUGAUCCUACAAUGGUGGGAUCAUGACCUGAGCCAAAACCAAGAGUCAGAUACUCAACCAACUGAGCCACCCAGGAG